rnacentral:rRNA from 1 species
UCGUAGGUGACCUGCGGAAGGAUCAUUAUCGUACAAUGGAGGUGCUGGGGUUGUCGCUGACCUUUGAAAGGGUCGUGCACGCCUCGGUGCUUUCACACAUAAUCCAUCUCACCCCUUUUGUGCAUCACCGCGUGGGGGCCCCUUUUAGCUAGGUCUGAAGGGGGCUUUCACGUUUUUACAAACACACCCUUUUAAUGGCAAAAUGUAAAAGGCCUAACUUUUUGCAAUAACCCCCAUUCAAUACAACUUUCACAACCGAACCUCUGGGUUCUCGCACCAAUAAAAAACCCACCGAAAGGCGAUACUAAUGGUGAAUUGCGAAAUUCAUGGAAUCUCCAAACCUUUAAACCCACCUGGCGCCCUUUGGCAUUCCAAAGGGAACACCCGUUUGAGGGUCUGGCCAUCUUCAAACCUCCUGGGUUUCUUGACCAAAAAGGUUUUGAACUUUGAAGGCUUUUGUGGGACCUUCCCUGGUGGAACCCAGCUCUUCUAAAUGAAAUAAGUGGGUUUGGUUUGGUGGACCCUGGAGGGGUUAAAAGGUUUUUACUUCUUGGGUUUUCCACGGUUUGUUUAGGACCUGGUUUUUACCCUUUUCAUGGAAGCCAAAGGUUCACCUUGACCCACAAACCUUGACCUCAAAUCGGGUGAGACUACCCGCUGAACUUAAGCAUAUCAAUAAGCGGAGGAAAAGAAACUAACAAGGAUUCCCCUAGUAACUGCGAGUGAAGCGGGAAAAGCUCAAAUUUAAAAUCUGGUGGUCUUUGGCCAUCCGAGU